UAUUGGUCAAUGGGCUCACGCCUGAACCAGCCAAGUCGCGUGAGGGAAGACUGCCCUAUGGGUUGUAAACCUCUUUUGUCAGGGAGCAACGCCGGCUACGUGUAGCCGGACUGAGAGUACCUGAAGACAAAGCAUCGGCUACCUCCGUGCCAGCAGCCGCGGUAAUACGGAGGAUGCGAGCGUUAUCCGGAUUUAUUGGGUUUAAAGGGUGCGGAGGCGGCCUGUUAAGUCAGCGGUAAAAGCCCGGGGCUCAACCCCGGCGAGCCGUUGAAACUGGCGGGCUGGAGUUGGAGAGAAGUACGCGGAAUGCGCGGUGGAGCGGUGAAAUGCUGAGAUAUCGCGCAGAACCCCGAUUGCGAAGGCAGCGUACCGGCUCCACACUGACGCUGAGGCACGAAAGCGUGGGUAUCGA
rnacentral:rRNA from 1 species